AUUGAACGCUGGCGGCAUGCCUUACACAUGCAAGUCGAACGGCAGCACGGGGGCAACCCUGGUGGCGAGUGGCGAACGGGUGAGUAAUGCAUCGGAACGUGCCCAGUAGUGGGGGAUAACUAGUCGAAAGAUUAGCUAAUACCGCAUACGACCUAUGGGUGAAAGCGGGGGAUCGCAAGACCUCGCGCUAUUGGAGCGGCCGAUGUCUGAUUAGCUAGUUGGCGGGGUAAAAGCCCACCAAGGCUUCGAUCAGUAGCUGGUCUGAGAGGACGACCAGCCACACUGGGACUGAGACACGGCCCAGACUCCUACGGGAGGCAGCAGUGGGGAAUUUUGGACAAUGGGCGCAAGCCUGAUCCAGCCAUGCCGCGUGCGGGAAGAAGGCCUGG
rnacentral:rRNA from 1 species